UUAAAGGCAAUGGACGGCGACCGAAUAACAGAACCCUUUCUCGUUCGCAUUCCUCCAUGCUCGUUCGCAAGAGAGCCACGUGAUCCCCGCGCAGCCAAUCGGAGUCCUGGAAAGCGACGUCGUGGUUCGAAAGUUGAUCGAGCGGUCUGUUUGAUGUUUAUAUAUCGUGGUCACGCUCUUUUGUCCCUUUCGUUGGAAAACGGAUCGACAACGUGCGAAUGGGAGGAAAAUCUCGACUAACGAACGCUCUAGAAGUUCAACGGAGUCGUGCAGUACGUACGUAGAGAGUGGCCUGCUGCCAACACGAUGAACCCUGGCCAACAGUUGCCAAGCAUACCGCACUGUUGCUGCCUUCAUGGACGUGCUGGUGGCAUUGCUCCUCCUGUCCAGCCCAUGCACUGCUGCACCGCUGAGUACCACCAUUUCCCCAGAUGCUAUCAACCUUCAGGGGUCGAGCUCGUCAGGGGCAGGACUCAACACCAGUACCGAUGGCCGCCUGUCAACAUUCACUCCACCGACAAAAACGACAAAGUCAGCUAAUGAUGCUUCCUUGCACACAGCGGACAGCACAACUGCCGAUCCUCAUCAAACUUCAAUAUUGCCUGCAUUUGUCCACCACAUCACUGAACAGAGCUUUACGAGGGACACGGAUUUGUCAUUGUCGAAGACGGUAGGCAGUGAAGUUGCUCAAAGCUCAUCAGAUGACAAUAACUCCACAAUAGCCUACCUGGAAACACAAACAUCUGUGGAUGUGCUUAGUUAUGAACUCAGCUCGCUCAAGAACAGGUCGGGGGACAGACAGGUGAGCACAUUGCCUGGGAGCAUGCCUUCAGUUGAAGUGUCAACUGUACUUCCUACUCAAGAAGAGCUGAGGCCGGCUGGUAAAUUAUCAGUUGUCAAGGUGCACGAGGCACCCUCACAGACUGUUGCUAAACAAGAGCUGACUACUUCAUUGUCAGUUACAGUUCCUAGCGUUACCACUCACAACCAAUUUGAUAAUGAAGAGCUGCAGGUUACAGCUGAAGAAAGACCAACUAGUAAAGAGCACAUGAGUCAUAUUCUACCAAGUGCAAGUCCUAAUGUAACAACUCUCAACUACUCUGCAGUACAAAGCCUGAUGCGGUCCACUACGGUUGUUUAUGCAGUCGCUGCCAAUUAUGAUGUGCUAGACGUUACAGCCACACCGAAGACUAGCACACCUCUGCCUCAAAACAAUGAUGUGCAAGCUCCAGUACCUACAGCAACAAGAAUUAGUGAAAGCAACAGAACAGAAGACGUUGAAAUUCAGUUAAAGAGUCUUGUGUCGACACAAGGUCAGACCAUCCAGCCUCCUACCACAAGUUUUACAUCUCCUUCCUUUUUUUCAAGUGAUGACUUACAGAGCAGAACUUUAUAUAAGAGCUCUCUAUCCAACAUGCCACUACCAGCAUGGAGUGAGCUAGUGAACUGCACGUCAGUGAAUUGCACAGAGCAGUCAGUUGAAUUAACACUACAGCAGCCCUCAGUAUGGAGUUCUUCUGAUAUGACUACGGCUACUGCAGUUGAAUAUAGCACUACAUCGGAGCAAAGUACAAGCCACAAACCAGAUGAUGGGGCCACACUGCCUCUUGAGAAUACUGAAACAAGUACUGUCACAGUACUGCCUGUUCUUGAAGACAGGACAGUUGAGCACAGUACUACAUCGGAGCAAAAUACAAGCCAGAAACCGGAUAAUAGUGCCACAAUGCCUCUUGUGAAUACUGAAACAAGUACUAUCAUAGUGCCUAUUCAAUACUAUGCAGUUGAUCAUAGUACUACAUUGGAGAAAAAUACAAGCCAAAAAUGGAAUGAAAAUGCCACACUGCCUCUUGAGAAUACUGAAAGAAGUUCUGUUACAAUGCUGCCUAUGCUUGAAUACAGUGAAUACAGCACAGUUGAGCAGAGUACUAAAUCGGAGCAAUAUACAAGCCAAAAGCCAGAUAGUGCCACACUGCCUCUUGAGAAUAAUGAACCAAGUACUGUCACAGUACUGCCUAUUCUUGAAUACAGCACGAUUGAGCACAGUACUAAAUUGGAGCAAAAUGCAAGCCAAAAACUGGAUGACAGUGCCACACUGCCUUUUGAGGAUAAUGAAACAAGUACUGUUACGGUACCACCUGUUCUUGAACACACCACAGUUGAGCACAGUACUAAAUUGGAGCAGAGUACAAGCCAAAAGCCAGAUAGUACCACACUGCCUCUUGAGAAUAAAGAACCGAGCACUGUAACAGUACCACCUAUUCCUGAAUACAGCAUGAUUGAGCACAGUACUAAAUUGGAACAAAAUACAAGCCAGAAGCCAGAUAGUGCCACACUGCCUCUUGAGAAUAAUGAACCAAGUACUUUCACAGUACUGCCUACUGAAUACAGCACAAUUGAGCACAGUACUAAAUUGGAACAAAGUACAAGCCAGAAACCAGAUAUUGCCACACUGCCUCUUGAGAUUAAUGAACCAAGCACUGUCACAGUACUGCCUACUCUUGAAUACAGCACAGUUGAGCACAGUACUACAUCAGAGAAAGAUUCUAGGCAAGAAUCGGAUAGUGCCACACUACCUCUUGGGAAUAACGAAACAAGUACUGUUACAGUUCCUAUUUCCCUGGAUUACCCAGAGAUUGACAACACGUCAGUGGCAACUUUUUCUCUGCAAACCACUGAGACACUAGCCAAGGUGACAGAGAUUCCACCCACUCCCAUUUCUGCUGCCACCUCAGCCUACUCAAGUGAAGCAUCGGUCAAUGCAGCAACACAACUUGUCAAGAUGUCCACAGAUGCAACAAUGAUUUCGGAAGAAGCCAGCACAUCAGAAAGUUUCUUUGACACAUUUUCUUUGGCACCGAAAUAUGAUAGAGCCACAGUGGUGAUGCCAUCCCAUGGUAGACCACUUGCGGCUACAUCAAGUACUCCAGCAGGUGUGGUAUUAGGUACAUCAGAUUUGGGAGAUACUGUCACUAAUUCCGAAAUUCCAGAUGAAGAUAGUGCAACAGAACAUAGUGAGGCAAGUCCAACAGGCACAAGUAAUACUGCAGGAACUUCAGGAGUGAUUGCUGGCACCACUACUACAGAUUUGGUGGGACAGCAAGUACUCCCAGAGUUAAGAGAUGUUCUUGAUGCGAGUGAGCCAACAUCAGCUGAACAUUUUACACCCUGGGAGGGAACUGAUCCUGUUCGUAAGCAGCUUGAAACUUUGCUAGCUACUGGUGCCGUCACGGAAAGCAACAUGUUUGCAGGUUUCCCACAUUCAUUAAGUGAGGAACUCGCUAGCACCACUUUGGAGGUUACAACUACACUACCUGCAAGCUCUUAUAGUCCAGCGGGGAGUGAGCCAGUUUCACCUCAUACUCCAGCCAUUGCACCAGAAGGAAAGUUGACAUCACCACAUGUGCAACAGAGUACCACAGAGAAGAGCUCUGUUUCUACAGCUUUGCCUUCUGAGCUGCCAAGGCAUGGAAUCCCGGAAGACGGCACUUCGUCAACCUGCGUGCCCUUGGAGCCACCGCGGAGGCCGACGCACGAGUUCCGGCUGGUGUUCAACACCUCGGCCGAAUUCUCCUGGGAGCAGGUCGAGGCCCUUGAAAAGCGCAUCCAGCACUUUUCCAACGACAGCGCUUGUCCGCGCCACUUCGCACGCACUGCAUUUACCCUUGGACCCCCACACGAACUCAGCUGGACUGACCCUUCGGCCAACGCAAGCUGGUGCGACCGCGGAGCUGUAGACACCCUGUUGCACGCCAUGCGCACCCGCACGGGUCACCCAACGCCCGAGGUGACGAGGGCCUUCUACCCUGAGUUUAAGGUCGUCACUGUUGAGCUACAUUACCGUGGCGCAUGCAUGGACCGCCGAGGUAUGGCGCCGUUCCCCAUUGCAGCCACAGCCAUCGGCGUUGUUCUUGCCGCGGCACUCAUUGCGGGCUUGGUCCUCUGGAGGGCACUGCGGCUGGUGCCCUCACGUUCACGCAAGCUCAACGUCACCAGCAGGUCCUCCGCAGUGCCUCGCGAGUCGUUCCAUCUGAAGCAGCGGCGGCCCGUACUCCUGACAGGAGAGAACAGGGCUGGCAGCACCAAUGGCACUCCAAGCAAGAGCCCGCACACCAAGCCCAACCCACCGUUUGUGGUAGACACGGACUUCUGCUACAUCAAUCCCAACUUCUUGGAGGUUGUCAAACAGUCGCCGCCACCUCCACCGCCAUACCGAAAGUCGCUCGACAGGCGCAGCCUCGAUGCCGUGCUCCCUGCUCCGCCCCCGAGACCACCACAUGGUCCUCACUCAUCUCUCGGGAGUCGACGACGAGCUGAGCACGACGAAGGAUCGUCGAGUUCGGGGGUUGAGUCGGACGCGCAGCCAUCGGGGGAGGCCAAAUCCAAUGAGAGCAGCUGAAAGUGAUGAACGAUGGCAUAGCAGCAUUUCAGACACAUUCCAGUCUUCUUGUGAAUAAUUCCAUUCAUUCAGCCCGUCCUCAGACAACAUAAACCCAAGCUUUCUCUUGGCACCAAAGUUUAAUGUGGCUGUUAUCAAACAACGGUGGAAAGUUGGGCAAGUUGGUUCAAAACACUGCUCUGACACGUACAGACAAGAACAAGUGCUGGCUUCCAACUGAAUUUUUUUUAUUAAAAACAGGUGAACAUGUGUCAUCGAAAAAACAGUAGAAAACACGUAAGCAUUCCCACCAUUGCCUGCUAUGCACGUGUAAAUGAGAUCAUGAAGCAAGCUUAACAUGUAGCCCCACAUAACAAUGUAGGUGCAAUAGCUCUGCGGCCAUAAGCGCCAGAAAAAGCCAUAUUGCAUAGUGUAAGCAACAAGGACACAUGCAGCUACAUUCAAUUCGCAAGAAAUUGUGUUGCUAUGCAUAUGCCAUAAAAACAAGUACACGCAUUUUCUGCCAGCUCAUUGAUCCAAUCUACACAUUAUAUCAUUAAGCUCAUGAUUUCAUAGCUGCCGAUACUAGAACACAUCCUGUCAAGUGUUCACAUAUUGUGUCCGUGCAUUAAAUCUAAAACAGCGCAAAUCGUAAUUGCUUCCAAAUUUCUUAUUCUGCACAGCCCUUGGUGUGUUACCUAUAUUUUAAUUUGUGACAAUAAAUUAAGUGUACUUCAAAUGAAAAAUGAAGAACCCCGGUGAGAUGUUUUGGGAGAUGAAUGGGCAGUCCUUGUGAUAUGCUAUAGCAGGCUUUGCAUGUUGUAUCUCAACAGCAUCUCAGUCAUUUUGCUGUGAAAUCGGAGAGACCUACAAGGGCUUGAUCACUGCUUUUAGUGAGCAGACAUACAUGAAAACAACUGCGCUUAGCUGAUGUCUAAGCAAGUAGACAAAGAUACGUCCAUGUCCAAUUGUAAUCUGCUUUACACUCCAUACCGAGAAAGUCGACUUUAUUGAAGGAAAACAUCAUUUCAUAUACUAUUCGUCCUGUUUAGUGUGUUGGUCUUGUGUUACUGCAAUGUCUGAUUUUACUUGCUUCUGUAGUGUAACCUCACUGAAUUCAUGCUAUGAGCUUUGGAUGUGCUACUCAACAUUGUGGGGAAAUUUUGUACGACUUUCACUGCCACUAUAUUUUUCUCAUUGGGUUGCACACAUGUUGCAUGCAGACAGACUUGCUGCCGUCUUCUCAAAACUAGAGGUAUGACACCGAGCGAAGUGUUUCAAGAGUUUAUCAGCAUUUGUACUGAACGUUGCAUGUGCCAGGCAUACUUUAGCAAUAACGUUAGCAGUAAUGCAAUUGACACAAGGAAUUACGGGUGUCUCUGUUGUCAGUUCUCCUGUCUCCAUUGUGUCAGGGCUAUGGUUAGUAGUGUAGCCCAGUAAAAUUCUGGACUCUAUGUGAAAUAAAAGAUGCCCGUACAACUUGGCAAUUGCGUUACACGGGGCAUGCAAACCUUGGGUAAAUUUCUUGCCACUUUCAUCCACAAUAAAUUGGAAUUGGCAAGUAAAAACUUUGCUAAAAUAGUGAGCUUGGGCUGAAAUACAGCGAAAGAUUGUUCUGCUGGAGUAAAAUCCUUGUGUUUUUUAUUGCCAACACCACGUAGAAUGCAUUCCUGCGAUGGAUGAAACAGUCAAUUAAUUUGCACAAACUUAAUAUGAAACUAAGGGUAAUUAACACAACUGCAAAGUUCCACCCCUUAGUGAAAUUUGAUGGCCAUUCAGCCUAUUUGAAUGGCUAUGUGUACCUGUCUGUAUCAUAUAUGCAACAUUCUAUACUUACUGCUACUUCUAGUACACAGAGCCCAGUGUAACAUAUGACAUACAGGCUGUGUGACAUUAUCUACAAGUACAUAUGCUUUU
rnacentral:misc_RNA from 1 species